AAGUCGUAACAAGGUUUCCGUAGGUGAACCUGCGGAAGGAUCAUUAACACGUAUCCAACGUUAAACAACCCUGUGAACCUUCAUUCCUGCUCUCCUCGUCCCUUGAUAAAGCAAUCCCUGGUAAAUCACGCGAACAGUUUGAUUCAGGGACCUCUUUUGAUACGCACUUGGAUUCGAAGCAGCAUCCUUUAUCGUCAGUCAACGAUUUUACUCGUUGAUAUCCUUCCAGAAACCAAGUCUAAAUUACGACGCCGCAUCGACUGGUCCUCACGGUCAGUGGACAAGUCUCUGGGCUUCGGGCCCCCCAUAUUAACCCCAGUUCUCAAUUCGGAGGAUGCGGAAACGCUCCUCAUAAAAACGAACAACUGUUAACAAUGGAUAUCUUGGUUCUC
rnacentral:misc_RNA from 1 species